rnacentral:lncRNA from 1 species
AUUUGAACUUAUUAAUACAUUUUUUCAUAUUAUUGUAAUUUUAUGUGUAUGUACCCGAUAUGGAGUUCUUCUGAAAUUAAAAAUCACUUGAAUGGGUAUUUCUGGUGUAUAUACAUGUAUCACACUUGCUAUCUACAUGUACAAUAUACGGAAAUGACACGGCUGGGUAUUUUAAAGUUACUGAAGGUAGAUUACUGGCAGGUGUAUAUCCCCGGGC